rnacentral:lncRNA from 10 species
CAGGAGGAUCCCUUGAGCCCAGGAGUUCAUGGCUGCAGGGAACCAUGAUUGUACUACUGCACUCCAGCCUGGGUGACAGAGCAAGACCUUGUCUCUAAAAAAAAAGAAAAAUUAAUUGCAUAAAUAUAAGUAGAAAAUGACAACAGCAAUAAGUCUUCUGCAGGAGAGGCAGUAAUGUUCUAAAGGUAUAUAAUGAAGACAGAGUUUGGAAAAGUUUCUCUAGUAAGCGACAUUUCAGCUCAGAGCUAAAAGAUCAGUGGUAUUAAGUGGGGUUUGGAAGGUGGAGUGAGAAAUAUUGCAGGCAGAAGACAGCAUAUGCAAAGGUCUUGAGGCUAGAGGGAUCACAGUGAAUCCAAGGAAAUGCAAAAAGACCAGUGUGACUACGGGGAUGAAAAUGAGGUGGACCCUGGUCCCACGAAGAGCUAGAAAUAUGGGGGACAGGGCCCAUGCUGAGGACAGAUCACAAAAGGCUUUGGAGGCUCUCUCAAGGAUCUGCACUUUUAUGCUUCUUGAGGACAAUGGGUUACUAUUAAAGGAUUUGAAGCCAUGGAUAUGUGUGUAAGUAUUUGUGUUAGGGGGUGACAAGAUCUAAUUUGCAUUUUGAAAAGCUCAUUCUGGCCACAGAGUGAAGAAUGACUUGCAAGGACCACAAUGGGUUCUGGUAACUGCCCAUCCCCACACUGCCCCUUCAGUUCUAGGAGUGACAGUGGAACCCUGUUGUUCCUGGUUCCAGGGUGCUGCACCAUCCCUGUAGUUUCCCUACACUCUGCAAAGUAUGUCUAUUAUGUUUGUAAAUAGUUUCUUUAUCAAAUGACCUCUCCUCAAAUGAACAAAUUUGUUCUGCUUGACUUUAUGGAGAAAUUAUAUAGGCUGGAAAAAAACAGGAGGAAAGUUUAGCAGUCACUUACCCUAACUCCUUUGUUUUGCUUGUGAUACACAUGUAUUGCUGGAUUUUGUUUCCUAGCAAGUUGGACAAGCUUUGUCUUUUCUCUAUUUUCGCUACAGUGGAUAAGCUUCUUGGGGUAUAUAGUGGAGUACAUUUCAGAUUGCUUGCGUUAAUAUGAGUAUUGAAAAUUAUUAAAUUAGUCAGAUUUCCUUCUAUCUUAUUCUCUUCUCUUUGUCCUGGUUUUAUUCUUGUGUUUCUUUCUACUUUCCUGUCUUCUUAUGGAUUGGGCUUUUUUUUUUUUUUUAACCAUCUCUUUUUUUCCCAUUGAUUGCCUAGUAAGUUACAGUCUCUCCAUCUCUUCUUUUAGUGGAUCCUCUAGAUAUUUAAAAAGUUAAUCACAGGCCGGGCGUGGUGGUGGCUCACACCUGUAAUCCCAGCACUUUAAGA